rnacentral:rRNA from 1 species
AGUAGGUCCCAAGGGUAUGGCUGUUCGCCAUUUAAAGUGGUACGCGAGCUGGGUUUAGAACGUCGUGAGACAGUUCGGUCCCUAUCUGCCGUGGGCGCUGGAGAACUGAGGGGGGGCUGCUCCUAGUACGAGAGGACCGGAGUGGACGCAUCACUGGUGUUCGGGUUGUCAUGCCAAUGGCACUGCCCGGUAGCUAAAUGCGGAAGAGAUAAGUGCUGAAAGCAUCUAAGCACGAAACUUGCCCCGAGAUGAGUUCUCCCUGAGACUACAAGUCUCCUGAAGGAACGUUGAAGACGACGACGUUGAUAGGCCGGGUGUGUAAGCGCAGCGAUGCGUUGAGCUAACCGGUACUAAUGAACCGUGAGGCUUAACCUUACAACGCCGAAG